rnacentral:sRNA from 10 species
GUUUGCACUUGUCGGGGAAGGGUGAGAACCUUCGAUUAAGGUUCGACUCGAGCGAAAGCAAGAGAACGUUGCCAACGGCAACGGCCCGUAGGGUGAGGAGUGAAGCGACGAAUAAUCCUUCCCCCACCACCA